CCCUCCCCCAGCGCACUGCAGGGCACUGCCCAGCCCCUCCCCCGGGCCGUGCAGCGUGGGGGCCAUGCAGUGGUGCGGGGGGCGGUGCAGCGGCCGGGCGGGCCGGGCCGGGGGAGGAGAACAACAAAGCAGACGUUACCAUGCCGGAGCCGCGGAUCAGCUGGUCGCGGCGCACCCGGCAACUAAUCUCCAGCCCCUGCCUCGCGCGGAGCCCCAGCUGCUUGGCACAGCCACCAGACAGGCCGCUUCCAGCCUGCUGCUCUUCCCCUGCCGAGGCCUGGAGCCAGGACUGAGCUCCCAGAGGGAUCGGAAAGUGCCUGUGGGCACUUCCCCGUGCGGGGUGGGAGAAGGGGCCGGGAGCUGGGACCCCACAUCCCACCUGCGGAGAGGUGAGGAGACCCCGGCCUGGCGGCCAUGGGACAGCUCCACUGGCUCACGGCCACCCCCACAGCCUGGGGGCCUGGUCCCCGACCGCCCACCUGUGCCCGGAGACGGGGUGGCUUUGUGCUGCAGACGAACCUGAACAGAAGCCAGUUUCCUUUGACACUCGUCCGUGUUUUUCACAUGCAUUUGGAGAGGAGGAAGCAGGUGGAGAGGGGAGAAGGGGGAGGUCCCAGACCGGCGCGGGCAGCAGACCGCGUGCAUCCACGCAGCACGGCUCCGAUGAUGCCAAGGCUGGCGGGAAGCGUGUCCCCCGGCCGGCUGCUCUCGGUGCUGUCUGGCCGGGACAGCGAGGCUCUUCCCGACUGAAACGGGGCCACGACCCUGGCUCACUCUGCAGCCCAGCGCUGUGCUCAGGGUGGAACAGGCUGGCGGCUGAUCCUGCUCGGGAAGAGAUGGCUUGUCUCAAUGGAGAGCACCUGCGGCAGGGACCUCCCUGCAGGGAAGAGGCCGGACCCCAGCAGAGAUGGAGGAGCUCUGGGUGCCAGGGGAGCAGAGGCAGCCACUCCUGCAGGGAAGGGCACAAGCUUUCCGUUCCCCCCACGCACACUGCAGCAGGUUGCAGCCCAGGAAGACGAUACCGAAGAUGACAGUGAGGCAGAGCACACAGAGCACAGCCACCUGCACCACCUGCA